AAAUUUAGAUAAAAGAACGGACUUCAUUUAAAAUAAAUAGUCCCAACUUUCAAUAUUAAAAUUUAGUCAAGAGAUUUAAAUUCACUAAAAUAAUUUAGUGAAAAAAAAAAUCAAGCAUUUUUUUUAAAAUAAGAUUAGGCCAAAAUUCGUAGGCUUCAUUAAUCAAUUACAGCCCAAAAUUAAUUAAAAUGAGCCCAAUCAAUUAAAUAAAAACCCAUCAGCUUUUAAAACGAAAUGGCCCAGCAGGAUUAAACUAAAUAAACUCGGCCCACAUAAAUUAAACUCGGCCCAAACUAAUUAAACUCGGCCCAAACUAAGCCCUACCUCUUUAAACACACCCACACACACAAACACACGCACACACACACACACACGCUGCGCCGCUCUCUCACUCUCACACCUCUCUCUCCCUUCUCGGCCUCCUGUCAGAACCCGCCGCACCAGAGCUCGCCGGAGCAACGGCGACAGCCACUCAUCCCUCGGUUCUCACCUCUUCUCUCUCUAUCUCGCCGGAAAAACAGAGCCACGCUCCGCCUCCGCUGUGCGCUGUCGUCUCCAGCCUCCACCAUGGCAGAACACGGCUCUCGCCGGUUGCCAUCGUUUCUCGGCCGUCCUCGGCCUUAAGGUAGGUCGGCAGAGACCAUUCCGCCGCUGCAUGUGCCUUCUCCGGCCGUUGUGAAAAGCCGAGCGUCGCCGCGCCGCUUCCCCUGUUCUCCGCCGUCUCCGCCAUGGCCGGAAUCGUGGUGGAUGGCCGAGCCUUGCCUCGCCGUGAAGGUAGGCUCCAGAUCUGAGCUCCCUUUUCCUCUCCUUUCUAUUUUUUUUUUAAAAAAAAUCUGAACUCCUCCCUUUUCUCCUCUUUUCCGGCCGAACAGAACCGCCGUUCGUGUCGCUGCGCCGCUGCUUCCGCCGCGUCGCCGGAAAAGAUAAGUCUCUCCCCCUUUUUCCCGUAUCUCUCUCUCUUUUUUUAUUUUUACAGAAGCCCUAACCAUCUCUCUCUCUACCCUCUUCUCUCUCGUUUUGGCAGGACAAGGACUGGACGGCAGUUGCCGCCGCGCCGCCGUUGCCGGCGCCGAACAGCCGCCUGCUGCUCCCUCCUUCCCCUCUCACGAUUCGAACAACACACACGCAAGCAAAACACAAGGAACUCUCCAAAUUUCAGUUUACACUAAGGAGCACUUAGGGUUUUCAAAAUCUGUUCUUUUUCGUUUCUUCUUCUACAACAAUUGAUCUGUACUUGUAAUAGAUAGAAAACAUAUAGUAAAUACAUGUGUGCGUGUGUAUUAUUCAGUUUUUUUUUUAUCAAAAUCAAUUCCUUGAAAUCUUGUAACUGUAAUAGUUAGGAAAAUAAUGAUUAUGAGUGCGUGUGUUGAUGUUCUUGAUGGUUCGAAUUUUACAGUAAGUAUGGAGGAAAUAGGAGGUAACCUUGAUAUGAGUAGGAAAUGAGGAAAAUCUUCUUUCUGAAUUCACCAAAAUUGGAUCUGCGAAUUUAUUCAGCCAAGCUUAACAAUGAAAUUUUGGAUCUGAAAACUAUGAAAGAAUUGGAAGAAUUAAUGGACGUUUAUUACCUCUUUCUUGUUUUGGGAAAUCUUGGAAACUGAUUUGGAAAGCUGGAAUCAGUGAAUUAUAAUUCAAGCAUAAGAACGUAUAGCUUGGAUCAGAAUGUUAGGAGGAAUGGGAGGAAUGUUGGUUGCUGAUUUUGAUUAAAUAAAAGCUAAUUGCAUGUUGAGAUGUUAAAGUGUAGAAGAUGGCUGGCAAAAGAAGGUGUAAAGAGUGUUUAGUGGAAUGAUGAGUGUGUGGAAUAAUGAGUGUUUAGUGAAAUGAUGAGUGUUUAGUGGGAUAGUUGGCAUAUGAUGAGUGUUUAGUGGGAUGGUUGGCAUAUGAUGAGUGUUUCCAACACCAUCAAUUUAUUUAAGAGUAAGAUGGAUGUGGAAAUGUGUAGGUGCUAGAUGAAUGUGAUGAAUAAAAUCCUUAUUCUGUAUUUGUAAUACUAAUUUCGGGUUCUCAUAUAACGAAG
rnacentral:lncRNA from 1 species